UGAGAUGAAUUAAUUGAUGUAGAAUUAACCAUGAUCACAAUGUUAACAUUAACCAGGCUCAAAAUACUAAGUAAAAUGAAAAAGCUCAACUUAAUUAAAAAUUUAUAUUUAUACAGGUAUAUAUCCAGAGAAAAAUGUCUAGACAGAUACUCAGCAAAAGCACUAUUAAUGGUGUCAGUAUGGUGGUCUUUAUUUUCUUCACAAUUCCCUAUAAUUUUCAAAUUUUUUUCAGUAUAUCACUCUAUAUAAAACAGAGAAUUAACAAUAACAUUUUUAAACACCACAUUGGUUUAAGCAAAAUAUAACUAGGAAGGCGAAGCACUUUUGUAAACACAGAACCAACUAAAGAUAAUUCUCAAAAGAUGACUCUUGCAUUAUUCACUGUUUUGGGUUAACCACACCGCAAGUCUCCUCCAUUUCCACCGAAAAUCAAGAAUUUCUGCAACUGGCUGCAAUGACCGACACAUCAAGUACCGCAGGCACUGAUUGGGGUUAAGUAGCUGGUAACUGACCGCAUGCAUGCAAACCACAUCCAAACACUGCUGGCACAGGAGAGAUAAAAUCCCUACCCUUAACUAAGGAUUCCAGAGGGCGCCAUGUCCAUGAAUGGGGGCCGCCAUCCUCAUUGCUAUAGGUCGGGCAUCAGUCUGUUGGGGAUCUCUAAACAACUCCCAGGGAUGUGGGAGACAGUCAUUGCAGGCAUGAUUGCAACUAUUUAAAAUAUUUCCUUCCACCUCUCUCUUUUUCUCUCCCUGAAACUGUACAUAUUCUUGGGAUGCUGUUUUCUGGAGAGGGUGCUCUGGCGUGAAUCAGACAGAUAAACCGAUUGAGAUCAGGUGAUGUUUGUAGAUGCCAGUGAAGCAGUGUCUGAUUGGCACCCAGUUUACCACAUGUUCUUCGUGUUAUAUGGUGGUGGGCAGAAAAAGGGUGAGGCUAGAGGUCAAAGGCAGAAACUCAAUGACCUCGAUGUGCAUUUUAAUAAAACAACACCCGAGAGCUAGACUGAGAUGAAGGAUAAAAUAGGUCCCAAACCAAGAGAGCUUAUAUCAAUAUAUUGUACAAAACUCCCAAACACAGGGCUACGAAGUCUCACAACUCAGCGAAGCAGGAUUGUAAAUGCCACCAGGCCAUUAUAUUUACUUCUCAGAGCUAUAAAGCAGGGCAACAUGCUCUUAGUAUAAACGGGCAGAAAAGAAGCAAGAACUCAAUUCAACCUCAUCACCUUAGUGCA
rnacentral:lncRNA from 10 species